GGCUCUUCUGACUGGAUCUUCUCUAACUGCUACUCUUACAUAGCUUUCCAGUCAAGGAUGGCACAGGAGGAAAGCAACUUAUUUCCUUGCUUCUUCUGACAAACACAUGCUCUCCAGAGCAGACAGAUGCCUUAAAAUCAGAUAUAGGGCAUCAGUUCAUCUUUUGGGUUCAGCUGUAGCAUAUAAAGCAUUUGCUGGCUCUGGUCUAAUGCUUUUUGACGUUGUCAGACCCUCUUCAGUUAACUUCUGCCUUGAAACCAACUUGACAGCAAGUAUUGUUCCACAUUUAUUAAUACUGUACAUGUCAUCUUCAGACUGACAUGUUUCAAAGCCAGGCAUCAGCUGUGUUCAGCUCUGGCUUGAAAAAAAAUAUGCAGACAACAGCACAGACCUCCUGCUACUAACAAGUAAAUAGAUAAAUAAUGUGAUCACAGUGCAGCCCCAAAGCCUGGGAUUCUUUUCCAUGCCCACAGUGCUGCAGUUUGGUGCACCAGCGAAUGACACUGUAAAGCUCCUGGGUCUAAGCACUCUCCUUUGCGUGUUUACCUUCAUCCUCUGCAGGAGAUUAAUGUGGUUUGUCAGUCUGAAAAACAUGUUUAUAACACCAGAAACCACUAUAACCUUGGCAGUAUGCACUGGAAUUAAACGUCAUAAAAUUCAGACAUCCAAAUUUGUCUGCUUUGGUUUUACAUGACAAGUUCUUUCACAGUAGUUCUCCUGUGCCUCCGGUGCCAUUGGCACAGUGCAGCAGUCAAGAGGUGAUACCUGAAGUACUGUUAUUAUUUAUGUCACAGGUCUUCCUAAAACAGAAUAAAAUACUACUCUGAGUGGCUGAAAUGAACAUAA